AGCAUCUGAUGGCUCAAGCUUGCCUCACCACUAGGUUCAUCAAGCUGAUCACCUUGCUCACUGCUAGUUCACUGGUGACCUCCUGCUCCCUGGGCUGCGAAGGAUGAAAUCGAUCACUAUGCCUUUACGAUCUCGACUGGCAAUGCCGAUGCAUUUGUGUCCCGCCAACGACAAAUUGCCCACCCCUGCGAUCACAGCUGCCAUUUGGUUGCCCCGACAGUUCUUCCUUUAAUUGCA